rnacentral:lncRNA from 10 species
ACUCGCUAUUUUGGAAGCAUGAUGGCAUGGAGCAACUGAAAGAUUGUGGGAUGGGUUAAAAACCACAUCCAUUACUUUAUUGCUAUGGGAACAAUAAAGGAACUGGAGCAAGUUCCUCUCUGGUCUUUAGUUACCUCCUUGGUAAAGAGGGAAUCAUAGUUCCACCUUGUAGAGUUAUAACACCUCCAACAUUCAUGUAGGUACUCAAUAAGCAGCAGCUGUUAUUAACAAACUUUCUUUUUUUUCCCUCUGUAACAGUCUAAGAUACAGAGUAGGGGCUCAGUUAAUAUUUGUUGCAUAAAUAUGGAACCCAAACAAAUAAGAUCAGAUCACAUAUUUUGAGACUAAACUACUGAGUCUGCAGGAAUAACAGUAAUAAUUGUUGCCUACACAUGAUUCUAGAAAAGCCAGAAGCCAGGUCUCUUGAAAUAGACAUUUUCAUGCCCUCUUAUUCUAUCAGGAUUUCAUUUUGUUCCCAAAUCAUUUUGACUUAAUUAGAAAGAAGAUUUUUUUUACUUUAUUUGCCUCCAAAGAAUCAAAAUAAAUAGUACUCUUCCAGAUUUUCUAAGUCAUUAUCUUAUACAAUACCAUUGGUUAAGUUCUCUUCUUCAUUACAAAAGUGACAGUUAAUUAUAGAAAAAUUGAGAAGUACAAAAAAGAAAAAAGGGGCCAAAGUAUCACCAAUAGCUGUAAAAUUGUUGGCGUAUUUUCAUGCACACUUAGUUAAUUGUGAUCCUACAUUAUAUCCAACUUUAUCUUCUGGCUUUUCUCCUUAACAUGAUGAAAUGUGGUUUUCCAAAAUAUUCCCCUAUUGUUCAUUCUGUUACCAAUUGUUCACAAUUUUAAAUAAUGCAAAAUGAAUAUAAUUCUUAAUUAUAUACUGCAGUCAGGGAAACAUUUCUUAGGCUAAGUUCCUAGAAGUGAAAUUAUUAUUUUUAAAAAUACAAACAUUCUUUGGUACAUACUAUUAAAAAGUCAUUCAAAAAUUGUUGGAGAAAUUUAUAAUCUUUCACCAGU